CCGUAGCUCACAACCUGUUCGUGAGCAUAUCUCCGACUUUGACGGUGAUUUUGAGAGGACUUUGAGAAGGAAGAAGAAAUUGCAAGAGUCUAAUCCUCCUAGUCCCGAGCCUGAAUUAGAAGAGCAAGAAGUUGAGGUUGAAGAGAAGGCCACGGCACAAGUGGGUUGGUGCGAAAUAUAUAAGCACACAAAAUUAAACCCUCUUUUUGACAAUUGUAGUAUGGAUGUAAGUAGGGUAUCGUUCUAGGCCGGGGAUUAGGAGGG
rnacentral:lncRNA from 1 species